UCCAAAAGUAUGUAUUGUAGACAGAAUGUAAUUUGAUUGCUACAGAUGUAGAUCUUAAUGUUUACACUCUUUCCAAAAGUAUGUAUUGUAGACAGAAUGUAAUUUGAUUGCUACAGAUGUACAUUUAACUAGUGUUUAUUCAUUUGCAUUUUAUCGUAGGUUCUACCAAACUAUUUCAUAACUACUUUCUUUAACAAUGUAACUAGUAUUUAUAUGUAUUUGUUCUACAGCAAUGAACAAUAAAUGUUGUUUCUUUUAACUUUUAUUUGUAGUGACCAAGUUUAGUUUAGAGAUUAUGUUCGUUUUUUUAAAGAAAUUUUUGUUUAUUGUUUUGUUUUUUU